GCGGCAAUAGCUCAGUGGUAGAGCCCCCGCUUCGCGUGAGGGAAGACCCGGGUUCCGGGAGACCCGGGUUCGGUUCCCGGCUGCUUCC
rnacentral:tRNA from 1 species